AGAAGCAAAAGGGGAGAAUUGUGAGGGAAGGAGAAGAGAAAGAAAGGAAAGUAAAAGAAGAAUAAAAGAGAGGAGAAAAGAAGGAUACAGAGAAAAUGGGUAAAGAAGAAGAAAGAGAAAGGGAAAAAGAGGUUCUUGCUAGAACUGUAACACUGAAUUUGCAGUAAAAGCUAUGAAUUAAACUCUAAAAAUAACCCAAACAAAUGAAAAUUUCCUACAAAAACUUGAACAUUUUCAAACUUAUCAAUCAAAUGAAUAAGAUUUGACCAUUGCAGGAAAGAUUUGGUAAGCGUAGGAACUGAGGAAAUUGAGGACAACGAGCAUCCCAAAAAGUAGCUCUAGGUGCUGAGAGGAUCAUUGAAGCAAUGAGCGCAAGCAAUCAAAUGAAGGUAAGCUUUGAGUAUAUAUAGAACUUCUUCAUUCAUAUAUCUUCUGGUAUGUGUUCUCUCCAACUCUUUUUUUACUUUAUGU
rnacentral:lncRNA from 1 species